rnacentral:tRNA from 1 species
GGACGCGUAGAUCAGUUGGUUAGAUCGCCACGUUGACAUCGUGGAGGUCGACGGUUCGAGUCCGUCCGCGUCCAC